rnacentral:rRNA from 1 species
CGAACCGGGGGAACUGAAACAUCUAAGUACCCCGAGGAAAAGAAAUCAACCGAGAUUCCCCCAGUAGCGGCGAGCGAACGGGGAGCAGCCCAGAGCCUGAAUCAGUAUGUGUGUUAGUGGAAGCGUCUGGAAAGGCGCGCGAUACAGGGUGACAGCCCCGUACACAAAAAUGCACAUGCUGUGAGCUCGAUGAGUAGGGCGGGACACGUGGUAUCCUGUCUGAAUAUGGGGGGACCAUCCUCCAAGGCUAAAUACUCCUGACUGACCGAUAGUGAACCAGUACCGUGAGGGAAAGGCGAAAAGAACCCCGGCGAGGGGAGUGAAAAAGAACCUGAAACCGUGUACGUACAAGCAGUGGGAGCACGCUUAGGCGUGUGACUGCGUACCUUUUGUAUAAUGGGUCAGCGACUUAUAUUCUGUAGCAAGGUUAACCGAAUAGGGGAGCCGAAGGGAAACCGAGUCUUAACUGGGCGUUAAGUUGCAGGGUAUAGACCCGAAACCCGGUGAUCUAGCCAUGGGCAGGUUGAAGGUUGGGUAACACUAACUGGAGGACCGAACCGACUAAUGUUGAAAAAUUAGCGGAUGACUUGUGGCUGGGGGUGAAAGGCCAAUCAAACCGGGAGAUAGCUGGUUCUCCCCGAAAGCUAUUUAGGUAGCGCCUCGUGAAUUCAUCUCCGGGGGUAGAGCACUGUUUCGGCAAGGGGGUCAUCCCGACUUACCAACCCGAUGCAAACUGCGAAUACCGGAGAAUGUUAUCACGGGAGACACACGGCGGGUGCUAACGUCCGUCGUGAAGAGGGAAACAACCCAGACCGCCAGCUAAGGUCCCAAAGUCAUGGUUAAGUGGGAAACGAUGUGGGAAGGCCCAGACAGCCAGGAUGUUGGCUUAGAAGCAGCCAUCAUUUAAAGAAAGCGUAAUAGCUCACUGGUCGAGUCGGCCUGCGCGGAAGAUGUAACGGGGCUAAACCAUGCACCGAAGCUGCGGCAGCGACGCUGAUGCGUUGUUGGGUAGGGGAGCGUUCUGUAAGCCUGCGAAGGUGUGCUGUGAGGCAUGCUGGAGGUAUCAGAAGUGCGAAUGCUGACAUAAGUAACGAUAAAGCGGGUGAAAAGCCCGCUCGCCGGAAGACCAAGGGUUCCUGUCCAACGUUAAUCGGGGCAGGGUGAGUCGACCCCUAAGGCGAGGCCGAAAGGCGUAGUCGAUGGGAAACAGGUUAAUAUUCCUGUACUUGGUGUUACUGCGAAGGGGGGACGGAGAAGGCUAUGUUGGCCGGGCGACGGUUGUCCCGGUUUAAGCGUGUAGGCUGGUUUUCCAGGCAAAUCCGGAAAAUCAAGGCUGAGGCGUGAUGACGAGGCACU